rnacentral:tRNA from 1 species
UCUCUGGUGGUCCAGAGGCUAAGACUCUUACCUGCCAAUGGUAGGAGGCCUAGGUUCAAUCCCUGAUUAGAGAA